rnacentral:rRNA from 1 species
GACGAACGCUGGCGGCGUGCUUAACACAUGCAAGUCGAACGGAAAGGCCCUGCUUUUGUGGGGUGCUCGAGUGGCGAACGGGUGAGUAACACGUGAGUAACCUGCCCUUGACUUUGGGAUAACUUCAGGAAACUGGGGCUAAUACCGGAUAGGAGCUCCUGCUGCAUGGUGGGGGUUGGAAAGUUUCGGCGGUUGGGGAUGGACUCGCGGCUUAUCAGCUUGUUGGUGGGGUAGUGGCUUACCAAGGCUUUGACGGGUAGCCGGCCUGAGAGGGUGACCGGCCACAUUGGGACUGAGAUACGGCCCAGACUCCUAUGGGAGGCAGCAGUGGGGAAUAUUGCACAAUGGGCGGAAGCCUGAUGCAGCAACGCCGCGUGCGGGAUGACGGCCUUCGGGUUGUAAACCGCUUUCGCCUGUGACGAAGCGUGAGUGACGGCAAUGGGUAAAGAAGCACCGGCUAACUACGUG